UCGAUUCCAGCUCUGGCCUCCCUGUGUGGAGCUUGCAUGUUCUCCCCGGGCCUGCGUGGGUUUUCUCAGGGUGCUCCGGUUUCCUCCCACAUUCCAAAAACAUGCGUGGCAGGCUGAUUGAACACUCUAAAUUGUCCCUAGGUGUCAGUGUGAGUGUGAAUGGUUGUUCGUUUCUGUGUGCCCUGCGAUUGGCUGGCAACCGAUUCAGGGUGUCCUGCGCCUGCUGCCCGAAGACAGCUGGGAUAGCCUCCAGCACCCCCCGCGACCCUAGUGAGGAUCGAGCGGCUCGGAAGAUGAAUGAAUGAAUUAAAAAAAAAAAAAAGCCCAUCGAGACUCAAGAUUACAGCAAACAUACACGUCACUGGAGACAGUUUAACCUUAUCUUGAAAAUUAAUUAUUUCUUCCAUUUAUUUGAUGUUUAUGUUUGGGCUGUGCGGGAAACAUAAAGAAGCAAAGUGGUCGCUAAAAGCAAACGCGGAAUCCGAAAUUUCAGAUUGGAGUCACAACGGGUCAUGGCAGACAUUGUCUCAAAUUUUGGGAGCGAUAUGCUCCACCAUGCCCUGGUUCAUGCUUGGAUUUUGCACACAGUCGAAACACAGGAAACCCAUCCUCGCCCGUCCUUAAAAAUCUUUCAGAUUUAGACGAGCUAAAUUAGCGAUAAGCCAAAUACUACCUUAAUCCU